GGCCGUAACUAUAACGGUCUCGGGUAAGUUCCGACUGAUACCGCCCAAGAGUUCAUAUCGACGGCGGUGUUUGGAUGGCUGUUCGCCAUCUGCUCCUAGUACGAGAGGACCGGAGUGG
rnacentral:misc_RNA from 1 species